GGGGGGUCACGACUGCAAUACUAACAGCUGUAGCAAACUGGUGCACCUUUUGAUUUUCAAUUUCCAUGUUAGUCUGGCAUACUAUCUUGUAAGGCGCCUACUGCCAAAGCUGUUAUGCAGAAACCAUGGGAGAUGGCAACACCACGACCAACAAUAGAGGCAUCACAACUAACUCCAACAAUGAGAAGCCAGAAUGGCUGCAACAGUACAACCUUAUUGGCAAGAUUGGUGAAGGCACUUAUGGUCUCGUGUUCCUGGCAAAAACUAAAUCUCCUGCAAAUCGUGGAAAAUCAAUUGCCAUUAAGAAAUUCAAGCAGUCCAAGGAUGGAGAUGGCGUCUCCCCUACUGCCAUACGUGAAAUCAUGUUGCUUAGGGAGAUUUCACAUGAAAAUGUUGUGAAGCUUGUGAAUGUGCACAUUAAUCAUGCUGAUAUGUCUCUGUAUCUGGCUUUUGAUUAUGCUGAACAUGAUCUUUAUGAAAUCAUUAGGCAUCACAGAGAUAAGGGUCCCCAUGGUAUCAAUCAGUACACGGUGAAAUCAUUGCUGUGGCAGCUGCUUAAUGGACUGAACUAUCUUCACAGUAAUUGGAUCAUACAUCGAGAUCUAAAGCCAUCAAAUAUCCUGGUUAUGGGUGAGGGAGACGAACAUGGGGUUGUCAAAAUUGCUGACUUUGGACUUGCAAGAAUAUAUCAAGCGCCGUUGAAGCCAUUAUCUGAUAAUGGUGUAGUGGUAACAAUUUGGUAUCGUGCACCUGAGUUACUUCUUGGAGCAAAGCACUACACAAGUGCUGUUGAUAUGUGGGCUGUGGGAUGCAUUUUUGCUGAACUCUUGACUUUGAAGCCACUUUUUCAAGGGGCAGAAGCCAAAUCCACACCAAAUCCCUUCCAACUUGAUCAGCUGGACAAGAUAUUUAAGAUACUAGGCCAUCCUACACUUGAGAAGUGGCCAACACUUGCAAAUCUUCCACAUUGGCAAUCAGAUCAGCAACAUAUCCAAGGGCAUAAGUAUGAGAAUACAGGACUGCAUAACGUUGUGCAUCUCUCGCAAAAAAGUGCUCCAUAUGAUCUCCUGUCUAAGAUGCUUGAAUAUGAUCCUCGAAAGCGGAUAACUGCUGCACAAGCUCUAGAGCAUGAGUAUUUUCGGAUAGAACCUCUACCAGGGCGCAAUGCUUUGGUGCCCUCUCAACCUGGAGAAAAGGCAAUUAACUAUCCCACCCGUCCAGUAGACACAAAUACAGACUUUGAAGGAACAACUAGUCUUCAGCCUCCACAACCAGUAUCUUCUGGAAAUGCAGUUUCUGGAGGCAUGCCAGGUGCUCAUGGAGUGGCUAACAGAUCUGCUCCUCGACCGAUGCCAAUGGGCAUGCAGAGAAUGCAACCUUCAGCCAUGGCUGCUUACAAUAUUGCAUCUCAGGCUGGGAUGGGAGGUGGAAUGAAUCCAGCUGGCUUGCUGAUGCCACGGGGUGUAGCUGCACAGUCUCAUCAGCAGCAACAUUUGCGGAGGAAAGAACCACCAGUAAUGGGUAGUGGAUACCCUCCACAGCAAAAAUCCAGGCGCCAAUAAGCAAAUGACACAUUGAUUGGGAGCUAUCGUCAAACUUACGUUGGAACACAAUCCUCUCCCUGUAGAAGGUUUCUAUUAAGGGCAUCCAAGGCCAAGUCCAAAUCAUGAAGGUUUUUCAAUCAUGCCAUGUAUGUGACAUUUGGUCAUCUGCUGUAUUGUAGACCUUUAUCUAACUUGGCAGCCUUAUCUGUGCUUGAGGAGGUAGCUUAGUUGAUGCCUAUCAGGAGGAAUUUUAGAGCUACAUAUCCAAAUUGACCAGUUCCUUGAUAUCGGUGGACUAAAGGGAAUGCCAUUUCUUGCCCUUUAAGGGAUGUUUAUCAGUGUAUGAACUUAAUAUGAGACAAAGGCUUCUCAUCGUUGCUCUUGAAGCAGAAUAUACGCAUUCAUUUUAGUUCAAUAAGGUUGAAUUUCAAUAAGCUGUCUCUCUGUUUGUGCUAGAUCAUGGUUGGUAUUUUCAUCUUCAUUGCCAGUCUCUUUCAAUCGCUAGACUUUCUGCAUGUUUCAAGGGAUACGUAGUUGUGGUAUUUUACCAUCCAAGUUAGAUUGGAAAUACCUUAUAAUUAGAUCAGCAGGAAGGCCUUCUAUGUCUCUUUAAGCAAAAAGGCAUAAACUUUAUUUUUAUUAGGAAUGGCAAGCAACAGGGUGAUCAAGAGAGGAGAUCGCUCCCCCUGUUUUCACGGGGUGAUCAGGAGUAGGAUCACUCCUGUUUCCAUCCUGCAGGGAUCGGAGAGUGAUCAGAAGCUGGGAUCGCUCGUCCUGAAUACACCUUGUUGGGAACAGGGUUGGGUGGCAUCUUUUCAUGGGAAAUUAUUGUCUCAGCAUCUAGUUUGGGCUGUCAGGGGCUUAUUAGUCCAGCCCACGGGUGUCUUGGUUUGCAUAACUCCAUCUCCAUCUCGGGUUCUCCACAUGAGAGUCCAUGGGAUCUUUUGCAAC
rnacentral:misc_RNA from 1 species